CCUCACGUGGGGCUAGAGUGGCAGGCGCGGAUGCAGUAUUGUCAGAACGCCCUCUUCUGACCAGCAACCGUUCUCUGAGAAAAUUAGGUCUCUACCAUCGCAAAGGAAGGUAGCAGUCUUUUACCCUCAAUUUCUGUGUGUGUUAGUCCUUCAGUUGUGUCUGAAUCUGCGACUCGAUGGACUGUAGCCCAAUAGGCUCCUCCGCCCAUGGAAUUUUCCAGAAAACCCCUUCAGCUGAAGCUCCAAUACUUUGGUCACCU